rnacentral:rRNA from 1 species
GACAGAGGGUGCAAGCGUUAAUCGGAAUUACUGGGCGUAAAGGGUGCGUAGGUGGAUACGUAAGUCAGAUGUGAAAUCCCCGGGCUUAACCUGGGAACUGCAUAUGAUACUGCGAAUCUAGAGUAUGGUAGAGGUAAGUGGAAUUUCCGGUGUAGCGGUGAAAUGCGUAGAUAUCGGAAGGAACAUCAGUGGCGAAGGCGACUUACUGGACUGAUACUGACACUGAGGCACGAAAGCGUGGGGAGCAAACAGG